UACGUAGGGUGCGAGCGUUGUCCGGAAUUAUUGGGCGUAAAGAGCUUGUAGGCGGUUUGUCGCGUCUGCCGUGAAAGCCCAGGGCUUAACCCUGGGUCUGCGGUGGGUACGGGCAGGCUAGAGUGUGGUAGGGGAGACUGGAAUUCCUGGUGUAGCGGUGAAAUGCGCAGAUAUCAGGAGGAACACCGAUGGCGAAGGCAGGUCUCUGGGCCACUACUGACGCUGAGAAGCGAAAGCAUGGGGAGCGAACAGG
rnacentral:rRNA from 1 species